GAUGAACGCUAGCUACAGGCUUAACACAUGCAAGUCGAGGGGAAACGAUAGAGAAAGCUUGCUUUUUCUAGGCGUCGACCGGCGCACGGGUGAGUAACGCGUAUCCAACCUGCCCAUCACUUGGGGAUAACCUUGCGAAAGUAAGACUAAUACCCAAUGAUGUCUCUAGAAGACAUCUGAAAGGGAUUCAAGAUUUCUAGGUGAUGGAUGGGGAUGCGUCUGAUUAGCUUGUUGGCGGGGUAACGGCCCACCAAGGGGACGAUCAGUAGGGGUUCUGAGAGGAAGGUCCCCCACAUUGGAACUGAGACACGGUCCAAACUCCUACGGGAGGCAGCAGUGAGGAAUAUUGGUCAAUGGGCGAGAGCCUGAACCAGCCAAGUGGCGUGCAGGAUGACGGCCCUAUGGGUUGUAAACUGCUUUUAUAAGGGAAUAAAGUGAGCCUCGUGAGGCUUUUUGCAUGUACCUUAUGAAUAAGGACCGGCUAAUUCCGUGCCAGCCGCCGCAGUAA
rnacentral:rRNA from 1 species